ensembl:lncRNA
CACUGGCCCCCAACAGACUCAGCCAGGGAAACAGUUCUUGCUUCAUGCAUAAAUGAGCAAAAGAGAUUUUACUCUGACGUUGCAAACUAAUGAAACCCAGCGCUGGAUAUCUUUUUUAUCUUGACUUAUCUAAGCCAUUCGUUCCAUUUGGUUUGGGGCUCACAAAUCCAUACAAAAUUGACCCAUGCAGAAGUUUCCAUUGGCCCUGUGAUAGCAUGGAUUGUCAGGAGGAAAAUUGGACAUGGUCUUGCUUCUCUGUGUGUAUGUGGAGGUUUGCAAACAAUAGCCCACGUUUAAGACGCCCACAGCUGGCACGGAUGGCCUAUUUCCAUUAGAGUUGCCAACCAGUCGUGAGCAAUGCCAGUGCUGAGGAAGAUCAAAGUGGUGGCACUCCUAGGGCACGGGUCACCAGAGGAACAGACUGCUUACACUACAAUGAGAUGUGUGGGAAUACACUUGUGUGUGAGUGUGAGAGUGUGUGUGUUCAUUCUCUUUGAUUUUGAUACAAGCACUUAACACUGUUCCCUGGUGAUUUUCAUUUAGAUCAAAAGAGUCUAGCCCAAACAAAACAUCUGCUACAAAAUACCAAAAUCAUUUUCCUUUCCCUCCUCCCAAGCUGGACAUCCUAGCAGAUCCACACACCCAGCUACUCACAGCUGCACUCUUUUUUGAUUAUGUUUAAAUAGCAUACUAUGAUUAUUUUUUGGCUUUUCUACAGAUACAGUCAAAGAGAGACAGAAAACAAUUGGACAUAAUUGACAACACUGUUCUUUGACCACUGCAUCUUGUGCAUGAGUACCAUGCUUUUAAGACAGCGUGUCAAACAAAAUGUUGUUCAGUAUUUAAAAGCUCUCUCAAGACACAUAGUUUUCCAUUUAUCUGCUCUACAUCUCACAUUUUUACAAGCAAAAAUCCAUUCUGUGUGAACAGUGCAUUUGAGUAUAAUGGUCUUGAUUUGUUGUUUUGGGCCUUUGCUCACCCCUGAAGCCAUUUGAUUUAUUAUUUUUCCACAGUUUGUUUCUUUUCACAAACAAGAUGCAAUGCCAUGUUUUGUAGCGUUCCUGUAUGUUUUUAUGCCUUACGUUUCAGUCUACUGAUGGCUGUAAUGUUCCAGUAUAUGCAUUCCCUGGAAAUCAAAUCCAUGAUCUUGGUCAUGCUUUGCCAAUGGAUUCACAGGGCUGCCCUUAUGAUAUGAUUAGUAAACCAUUUACACCCUUUAUAUAGUAAGUCAGAUGAGUUGCAUGCUGUGUAUAGCAACAGGAAAAUCUGACCACCCACUCAUCACAUUGUCUAGACAGAAGAUUUGAUAAAAGCUGUCAUAACACUUGAGCUAUGAGGGUGUGACUGCCAAAACAGAGAAAAGAAAGAAAUUAAAUUAUGGGAUAUAAAAAGGAAAGACGAAAAAGAGGAGAGUCGAAAAAUAAGCAACCAUGCAUUACUGAAUCUGAGGUAGGAGAUGAUAAUAUUUUUGCACUCCCAUAUGUCAAGCAUUCAGUACAAUGAGUUGUGGUUAUAAAUGCUAGAGUGUCAGGUUCUAUUUCAGUGCUCUUUUACAUGUUAAAUGAAUAAAUCUGUGUUGCUCAGUAUGUAUAAGCGUUUU